rnacentral:rRNA from 1 species
UACAGAGGGGGCAAGCGUUAUUCGGAAUUAUUGGGCGUAAAGGGCGCGUAGGCGGCUUUGCAAGUGGCGGGUGAAAUCCCUCGGCUUAACCGAGGAACUGCCUGUCAAACUGCAUGGCUUGAGACCCGGAGAGGUGAGUGGAAUUCCCAGUGUAGCGGUGAAAUGCGCAGAUAUCGGGAGGAACACCAAUUGCGAAGGCAGCUUGCUGGGACGGUACUGACGCUGAGGCGCGAAAGCGUGGGGAGCAAACAGG